rnacentral:misc_RNA from 1 species
UGCGCAUCACCUCUUGCUUGUCUAGAUCAGCCCGGACGUUGGCAUGUGUAGCGUAUUUUGUCGGGUUUCGAGAUCAAGAAUCGAUGUCCCUUUGUUGGUUGGUUUUCCGAGAAUCCUUGACCCUUGAUUUGUUACUUUCGUAUCGUUUGGUGCAUGUUUUCCGAGAAUCCUUGACCCUUGAUUUGUUGCUUUUGCAUCGUUCGGUGCAUGUUUUCCGAGAAUCCUUGACCCUUGAUUUGUUGCUUUUGCAUCGUUCGGUGCAUGUUUUCCGAGAAUCCUUGACCCUUGAUUUGUUACUUUCGCAUCGUUCGGUGCAUUCUGGGGGAUGUUUUGGCUUUUGGUGGCUUACUUGGCCUUUUGGCUGGGUUUGUUGCUAUUGGUCGGGCGGCUUUCGGGAAUGUCGACCGUGGAGGUGCAUGAGUGGUGUUUGGUUUGUUACGUGUGGAUGGCUGUUUGCUUGCGCAACAACGUUCACGCUGCAUACCUCUUCAGUUUUGCGGCAAGGCUUGGUUUGGCUUGUGCAUAUUGUGGGUUUCCUGUGUUGCAUACCUAGUUGAAGGAAAAGUGUGGGUUUUACGAUUUUCAUUUUCGUCUUGCGUCGUUCUUUCGGCAUGGGAUGAGCAAUGAAGCGAUCUUUAUGAUCCAUCGUGCUGUUGUGUUUGCAACAAUGAUGUGGCCUAUGAAGCAUCGUUUGGUCUCUUGUAUACGGAAGCUCAUUUGGGCUUGGGUCUUCAUAAGAUCUUCGUUAUGCCCUUGUUAAGCGUUCUCGCUUCUCCUAAACGAUUG